rnacentral:rRNA from 1 species
CAGUAGCCGCGGGAAUACAGAGGGUGCGAGCGUUAAUCGGAUUUACUGGGCGUAAAGCGUGCGUAGGCGGCUUCUUAAGUCGGAUGUGAAAUCCCUGAGCUUAACUUAGGAAUUGCAUUCGAUACUGGGAAGCUAGAGUAUGGGAGAGGAUGGUAGAAUUCCAGGUGUAGCGGUGAAAUGCGUAGAGAUCUGGAGGAAUACCGAUGGCGAAGGCAGCCAUCUGGCCUAAUACUGACGCUGAGGUACGAAAGCAUGGGGAGCAAACAGGAUUAGAUACCCCAGUAGUCCCUGUCUCUUUACA